rnacentral:lncRNA from 1 species
AUGACUUGCAUACAAAAAAUUUCUUGAUACAGAUUGUAUUACUUAACCGAGUCACUCGACAAAUUGCAUUCAACAAAAUGUAUUCUAUUGUAAGAGGAAUUGCCCUUAUGACGAUUGUAGUGGCGGUUAUUAUACAAAACGCUAUGCCAUAUAUAUCCGAAAAGUGUCUUCAAUAUGAUGAGUGUCCAUAGAUUGUCUUGUACUUCCUAGUUAGAACUAAUACAAUAGUAACUAUGGUGAAUUAAUUAUAUAUUCGUUUGUGAACAUCUAUUUCAAUAAAUUUCUUUAUUGUGUAAAAAA